UACGGAGGAGGCAAGCGUUAUCCGGAAUUAUUGGGCGUAAAGCGUCCGCAGGUGGCACUUCAAGUCUGCUGUCAAAGACCGGGGCUUAACCCCAGAAAGGCAGUGGAAACUGAAGUGCUAGAGUGCAGUAGGGGUAGAGGGAAUUCCCGGUGUAGCGGUGAAAUGCGUAGAGAUCGGGAAGAACAUCGGUGGCGAAAGCGCUCUGCUGGACUGCAACUGACACUCAGGGACGAAAGCUAGGGGAGCGAAAUGGG
rnacentral:rRNA from 1 species